rnacentral:rRNA from 1 species
GAUUAACGCUGGCGGCAUGCCUAAUACAUGCAAGUCGAUCGGAUGUAGCAAUACAUUAGAGGCGAACGGGUGAGUAACACGUAUCCAAUCUGCCUUAUAGUGGGGGGAUAACUAGUCGAAAGAUUAGCUAAUACCGCAUAACAAGUUAACUAUCGCAUGAGAAUAACUUUAAAGAAGCAACUGCUUCGCUAUAAGAUGAGGGUGCGGCAUAUCAGCUAGUUGGUGAGGGUAAUGGCCCACCAAGGCGAUGACGUGUAGUUAUGCUGAGAGGUAGAAUAACCACAAUGGGACUGAGACACGGCCCAUACUCCUACGGGAGGCAGCAGUAGGGAAUUUUUCACAAUGGACGAAAGUCUGAUGGAGCAAUGCCGCGUGAACGAUGAAGGUCUUAGAUUGUAAAGUUCUUUUAUUUGGGAAGAACAGUUAGUAGAGUGGAAAGCUAUUAAUUUGACUGUACCAUUUGAAUAAGUAACGACUAACUAUGUGCCAGCAGUCGCGGUAAUACAUAGGUUGCAAGCGUUAUCCGGAUUUAUUGGGCGUAAAACAAGCGCAGGCGGAUUAGAAAGUCUGGUGUUAAAAGCAAUUGCUUAACGAUUGUAUGCAUUGGAAACUUCUAGUCUAGAGUUUGGUAGAGAGUCCUGGAACUCCAUGUGGAGCGGUGAAAUGCGUAGAUAUAUGGAAGAACACCAGAGGCGAAGGCGAGGACUUGGGCCAAUACUGACGCUUAGGCUUGAAAGUGUGGGGAGCAAAUAGGAUUAGAUACCCUAGUAGUCCACACUGUAAACGAUGGAUGUUAAGUGUCGGAGCGAAUACUUCGGUGCUGCAGUUAACACAUUAAACAUCCUGCCUGAGUAGUACAUUCGCAAGAAUGAAACUCAAACGGAAUUGACGGGGACCCGCACAAGUGGUGGAGCAUGUUGCUUAAUUCGACGGUACACGAAAAACCUUACCUAGACUUGACAUCUUGGGCGAAGCUAUAGAAAUAUAGUGGAGGUCAACCCAAUGACAGGUGGUGCAUGGUUGUCGUCAGCUCGUGUCGUGAGAUGUU